GAUGAAGAACGCAGCGAAAUGCGAUAAGUAAUGUGAAUUGCAGAAUUCAGUGAAUCAUCGAAUCCUUGAACGCACAUUGCGCCCCCUGGUAUUCCGGGGGGCAUGCCUGUCCGAGCGUCAUUACAACCCUCAAGCUCAGCUUGGUGUUGGGCCCCGCCGCCCCGGCGGGCCCUAAAGUCAGUGGCGGUGCCGUCCGGCUCCGAGCGUAGUAAUUCUUCUCGCUCUGGAGGUCCGGUCGUGUGCUCGCCAGCAACCCCCAAUUUUUUUCAGGUUGACCUCGGAUCAGGUAGGGAUACCCGCUGAACUUAAGCAUAUCAAUAAGCGGAGGA
rnacentral:misc_RNA from 1 species